rnacentral:lncRNA from 1 species
CCGCAGGCGCCCAACUGACUCCCAACCUCUUGCACAAAAAGAUAACACUUCGGGAUGCUAAAGUGGAUUCCUUUUCCCAGGAAAACUAAUGAGGCAAUCAACUGCAUGACUUUCUGCUAGGAAGAUUGAACUGGAAUUGGAGCACCCAGGUUCACUGUCACAUACAGGAUUGAAGCCUUCACAUCUGACACUCAACUUUGCAGGACACAAGGGACCAAAAGAGGGUUUGGUCUGGGGAAGACAUACAUGACAGUAGGUAUUCAAGGAAAGGAUGGCGGCUGCUCUCCAAACAUCUUUCCAGGGUACAGAGCAGGGGCUGGGUGGAGGUGGAGCUGGAGGUCAAAUCUUUCGAUGAAAUCCUCCAGCCCCGCUUUGCCCUCCACCCUCCCACCAUCACCCAUGAUAAGCGUGGAGCAUUGUUCAGGACAGAAAAGAAGAAACUCCUUCACGUCAGGCUAUAUGCAUGUGGUAUUCAUGCAUAAGGCAAAUAUCUAUCACUGUAAUGGCAAAGAUGACGGAGGUAAUUUCAAUCUGGAUUUUGUUGGUUGAAAAAAUAAAUAAAGUCCUAUCUUUCCAAUCUUUUUAUAUCAACCAAAGAUACACUGUUCAGUCCCUUCUCCCAGGUAAAUUUUACAUGAAAAAAGAAAUUACUUUGGUCAUUGCAGCAAUAUCAAAUCCUAAAGAAUUGAGAAAGCAUGUCAUGGUCUGAGAUAUAUUGGGUGCUUAUUCUUUGCCAGACAUUGUGCUAAGCACUUUACAUGCAUUUUUGCACUUAAUUCUCAGAAUAAGCAUAUGAGAAAGUUACUAGUGUAUUUUUUAAAUCUCCAUCUCACAUAUAAGGAAAUUGAGAGGAACUCAGUAAUUUGGCUGAGAUCACACUGUUGGUAAAUGAUGAUGCUGGAACUCAAUUUUUCUUUUGCAAUUUGGCAGCCAGGCAAAAGUGAUCAGAAACAGGUGUCUUUUAUCUAAAGUUCUAUGAAAGAGGAGCAGUUUUACUUUAUUUCAAAGAAACAAAUGACAUAAAUCAAUUUGCACCUGCCCUUGAUUUUGUGCAAAUUUAUUUAUAAUGAAUUGCGAAGGAAGGGGAGGCAGCCCUAAAUUCAGAGAAUUUGAAAUAAUCUUAAAUCAGAUAUGUAACAUGCAAUCCCAUUUGUCCAGAAAAGAGGCCAAAGGCAGAACAGUAAAUAUUUUCCACAGCAAAAUGAUCACAAGGGUGCACAGAGUUUUCCGAUCUCGAGGAUUCUUCCCAUUUAAAUGGAAACUGCAAAUCACCAGGUUAUCAUGUGGUAUAAGUCUUGAGUCUAUCAAUCUCUUUCACUCUUCAUUUGCCUUAGAUUGAUUUGACUUUGUGAUAAUGCAUCGCUCUGAUCACACUGUGCCAUUGUUGAUAUGGAGUCUCCAGAGAAAACUACAAACAGAUAAAGAAGGCUGGCAGCUCAAUCUUAAUAGAGUCUUAGGAUGAAGAAUAGUAAUACUUGGGACAUCACAAACAUAAUAGUGGUGCCCAAGAGAACUUUCAAGAUAUAAGCCCGCAAAAAAAUAUAUGUAGAAGUGAAUGGUAAGGCAGAAACUCAAAACGAAUUAUUAUAACCACUUCAAUUCAUCGCAAAGUUUUGCUCCUAAGGACAUAAUAUUCAGAUGCCUACUGAGCAUUUAAAUAUGCAGCUAAAUAUGCACCACAGUGGUUAAUCAAGUUGAAAUACAGGGUUGGGGUUUGUAUACGUGAGAAGCUGAAGUCCAGAACAGUUGAAUUACUUGAGGUCUCACUGAAAAUUGGCGGUGGUAGGGCUUAUUCCAAUGUCUGCUCACCAUACCUCAUUCCUAUUCCAGUCUAUUCUAGACCAAGGGUCAGCAAGCUUUUCCUUUAAAAGUCAGAUAGCAAAUAAUUUAAGCUUUCAGUUCAUUUUGUCUCUGUAUCAAUUACCGGGGUCUGCCAUUGUAUCAUGGAGCCAGCCAUAGAUGAUAAUAAUGAAUGGGUAUGUGUUCCAAUAAAACUUUAUUUAUAAAACAGACAGCUGGCUGGAUUUUGCUGGCAGAUAGCAGUUUGCAACCCCUGCCCUAGACUGUAAAUUUCAGCUCUGCCAUUCAUUAAUUAUAGGUUUUAAUUUAGUUAGUAGUCUCUUUCAACCUCAGUUUUAUCCCCCAAUGAAGUAUACUAUUUUCCCAAUAGUGGAAGUAAUUUUUCUCAGGUAAAUUGUUGAAAACGGCUUUCAAUAGAAUAUAGUUUGGGGAAUAUCAGUCUUUAGAUUUAUAAAAUCUUAUACAAAUAUUU